UACGUAGGCAGCAAGCGUUGUUCGGAUUUACUGGGCGUAAAGGGUGCGUAGGCGGCUUCUUAAGUCUGGUGUGAAAUCUCCCGGCUCAACUGGGAGGGUGCGCCGGAUACUGAGGGGCUAGAGUGUGGGAGAGGAAAGUGGAAUUCCUGGUGUAGCGGUGAAAUGCGUAGAUAUCAGGAGGAACACCGGUGGUGUAAACGGCUUUCUGGACCAUAACUGACGCUGAGGCACGAAAGCGUGGGUAGCAAACAGG
rnacentral:rRNA from 1 species